UACGGGGGGGGCAAGCGUUGUUCGGAAUUACUGGGCGUAAAGGGCUCGUAGGUGGCCAACUAAGUCAGACGUGAAAUCCCUCGGCUUAACCGGGGAACUGCGUCCGAUACUGGUGGGCUUGAAUCCGGGAGAGGGAUGCGGAAUUCCAGGUGUAGCGGUGAAAUGCGUAGAUAUCUGGAGGAACACCGGUGGCGAAGGCGGCAUCCUGGACCGGCAUUGACGCUGAGGCGCGAAAGCUAGGGGAGCAAACGGG
rnacentral:rRNA from 1 species